rnacentral:rRNA from 1 species
GAUGAACGCUGGCGGCGUGCCUAAUACAUGCAAGUCGAGCGAACAGACGAGGAGCUUGCUCCUCUGACGUUAGCGGCGGACGGGUGAGUAACACGUGGAUAACCUACCUAUAAGACUGGGAUAACUUCGGGAAACCGGAGCUAAUACCGGAUAACAUGUUGAACCGCAUGGUUCAACAGUGAAAGACGGUCUUGCUGUCACUUAUAGAUGGAUCCGCGCCGCAUUAGCUAGUUGGUAAGGUAACGGCUUACCAAGGCAACGAUGCGUAGCCGACCUGAGAGGGUGAUCGGCCACACUGGAGCUGAGACGCGGUCCAGACUCCGACGGGAGGCAGCAGUAGGGAAUCUUCGGAAAUGGGCGAAAGCCUGACGGAGCGACGCCGCGUGAGUGAAGAAGGUCUUCGGGUCGUAAAACUCUGUUAUUGGGGAAGACCGAAUGUGGAAGUAACUAUGCACGUCUUGACGGUACCUAAUCAGAAAGCCACGGCUAACUACGUG